GCGGUGAUGGCGGAACAGGCAGACGCGCUGUCUUGAGGGGGCAGUGCCCUGGCGGGCGUGCGAGUUCGACUCUCGCUCACCGCACCA
rnacentral:tRNA from 1 species